AGAGUUUGAUCAUGGCUCAGAAUCAACGCUGGCGGCGCGCCUAACACAUGCAAGUCGCACGAGAAAGCGGGAGCAAUCUCGCAAGUACAGUGGCGUACGGGUGAGUAACACGUGGAUCAUCUGCCCUGGAGUGGGGAAUAACGCUGGGAAACCGGCGCUAAUACCGCAUAUUCCCGAGAGGGGAAAGCAGCAAUGCGCUCGAGGAGGAGUCCGCGGCCGAUUAGCUAGUUGGCAGGGUAAAAGCCUACCAAGGCUGUGAUCGGUAGCCGGCCUGAGAGGGCACACGGCCACACUGGCACUGAAACACGGGCCAGACUCCUACGGGAGGCAGCAGUGGGGAAUCUUGCACAAUGGGGGAAACCCUGAUGCAGCGACGCCGCGUGAGCGAUGAAGCCCUUCGGGGUGUAAAGCUCUUUCGGCAGGGAAGAUUAUGACGGUACCUGCAGAAGCAGCUGCGGCUAACUACGUGCCAGCAGCCGCGGUAAUACGUAGGCAGCAAGCGUUGUUCGGAGUUACUGGGCGUAAAGGGUGUGUAGGCGGCCUGUUAAGUUCCGUGUGAAAUCUCCCGGCUCAACCGGGAGGGUGCGCGGAAAACUGGCGGGCUAGAGUGCGGGAUGGGAGAGUAGAAUUCCUGGUGUAGCGGUGAAAUGCGUAGAUAUCAGGAGGAAUACCGGUGGUGUAGACGGCUCUCUGGACCGCAACUGACGCUGAAACACGAAAGCGUGGGUAGCAAACAGGAUUAGAUACCCUAGUAGUCC
rnacentral:rRNA from 1 species